UUCUUCCUCAAUUUUCUUCUGCUCUUUGCUUACAAAGGUAAGAUUCUUCCUCAAUGUUAUACUGCUCUUUGCUUACAAAGGUAAGAUCUUCCUCAGGGUAAUACUGCUCUUUGCUUUCAAAGGUAAAAUUCUUCCUCAGUGUUAUACAUGUACUGCUCUUUGCUUACAAAGGUAAGAUCUUCCUCAAUGUGAUAUUUCUCUGUGCUUACAAAGGUAAGAUCUUCCUCAAUAUUAUACUGCUCUGUGCUUACAAAGGUAAGAUUCUUCCUCAGGGUUAUACCGCUCUUUGCUUACAAAGGUAAAAUUCUUCCUCAAUGUUAUACAUGUACUGCUCUCUGCAUACAAAGGUAAGAUCUUCCUCAAUGUGAUAUUUCUCUGUGCUUACAAAGGUAAGAUCUUCCUCAAUUUUAUACUGCUCUGUGCUUACAAAGGUAAGAUUCUUUCUCAGGGUUAUACUGCUCUUUGCUUACAAAGGUAAGAUUCUUCCUGAGGGUUAUACUGCUCUUUGCUUACAGAGGUAAGAUUCUUCCUCAGGGUUAUACUGCUCUUUGCUUACAAAGGUAAGAUUCUUCCUCAGGGUUAUACUGCUCUGUGCUUACAAAGGUAAGAUUCUUCCUCAGGGUUAUACUGCUCUUUGCUUACAAAGGUAAGAUUCUUCCUCAGGGUUAUACUGCUCUGUGCUUACAAAGGUAAGAUUCUUCCUCAGGGUUAUACUGCUCUUUGCUUACAAAGGUAAGAUCUUUCCUCAGGGUUAUACUGCUCUUUGCUUACAAAGGUAAGAUUCUUCCUCAGGGUUAUACUGCUCUUUGCUUACAAAGGUAAGAUUCUUCCUCAGGGUUAUACUGUUCUUUGCUUACAGAGGUAAGAUUCUUUCUCAGGGUUUUACCGCUCUUUGCUUACAGAGGUAAGAUUCUUCCUCAGGGUUAUACUGCUCUUUACAAAGGUAAGAUUCUUCCUCAGUGUUAUACUGCUCUUUGCUUACAGAGGUAAAGAUCUUCCUCAAUAACACAUUUUUUGGUUACAAAAUGUAAGUUCUUCCUCCAUGAAACACUGCUGUUUGUUUAUAAAGUUCUUUCCUUGUGAGAUUCUGCUCUUUGAUUAUAAAGGAAAUUUCUUCCACAGUGUUGUGCUACUUUUUGCUAAUAAAGAAUUUUUUUCUGAAGAAAACUGCUCUUUGCUUAUAAUAGAAGGUUCGUCCUCUUUGAGGCUCUGCUGUUUGAUUGUAAAGGAAAGUUCUUCCUACUUGAAAGACUGCUCCUUGCUGAUAAAGGGAAGUUCUGCAUUACUCCUUGCUUAUGAAGGUAAUAUUUUCCCUUUUUAGAAGCUGUUCUUUUCCUGUGUGAUACUACCCAUUGAUUAUAGAAGAAAGUUCUUCUUGUAUGAGGAACUUCUCUUUGCCUAUUAAGUAAAGUUGUUCACUGCUCUUUGCUUGUAAUGUAGAAAGCAUUUCACUGCUCAUAACUUUAGGAAAGUUCUUCUCUUUGGUUAUAAAGGUAAUUUCAUAUACACAAAUGAUUGGUGUAUUAAAUGUUGUUACUGCCUCAGUAGCCUAGCUCGAGUGCAAGAGGUCAUAGGUUCGAUCCCUGACCGCGUCAAACCAAAAAUGUAAAAAAUGGUACUAGUAGCUUCCUUGCUUGGCGCUCAGCAUUAAGAGGAUACUGCUGGGACUGGUCAGCCUGGUGUCAGUAUAAUGUGACUGGGUGGGGUAUGAUGUUGGGUAUUUACAGCAUGAUAUUCCAGUGAGACAGCUCUAUAAAGUUGGGCACACACAUUAAAUGUUGUUUUUUUAUUUUGGGCAGGUAAGUGUCCUCACUAGCAAGUGUCCGAUAUAUAAUGUAUAGUUGCAGUAAUUACUGUCAAACCAAGUUCAAGUUGCAUGUUAUUUUCAUGCUUUAAUGUGAUAGGGGUCUUGAAAUUACGGUAUUUUCUUAUGAAGUAAUGAAAUAAAUAGAGUUAUAAACUUAUAUGUGUACCUGUAUUUAUCUAUAUAUAUUAUAAUAAGCCACAUUUGUCUAAUAAAUUUUCAUGUUUGCAACACAUUUAUGUACAUGUUUAAACCUUCAGGUUGAGGUUUUACAUUUACAUUUUGAAUGUGUACUGCUAAAUUGUGCAAAAUUUGUUGUGUUUUCAAUUUUGACAUCUGCAGUGCUUGCAACCACUCUUUUGUUCAGAGUGUAAUUUAAUGUAUU